rnacentral:rRNA from 1 species
CCUACGGGAGGCUUCAGUAGGGAAUAUUGCUCAAUGGGGGAAACCCUGAAGCAGCAACGCCGCGUGGAGGAUGAAGGUUUUCGGAUUGUAAACUCCUUUUGUUAGAGAAGAUAAUGACGGUAUCUAACGAAUAAGCACCGGCUAACUCCGUGCCAGCAGCCGCGGUAAUACGGAGGGUGCAAGCGUUACUCGGAAUCACUGGGCGGAAAGAGCGCGUAGGCGGGAUAGCAAGUCAGAGGUGAAAUCCUAUGGCUUAACCAUAGAACUGCAUUUGAAACUGUUAUUCUAGAGUAUGGGAGAGGUAGGUGGAAUUCUUGGUGUAGGGGUAAAAUCCGUAGAGAUCAAGAGGAAUACUCAUUGCGAAGGCGACCUGCUAGAACAUAACUGACGCUGAUGCGCGAAAGCGUGGGGAGCAAACAGGAUUAGAUACCCCGGUAGU